CAUACUGAUUGCCAAAAGGUUCCUGAUAGCUCCAGUAAUUUGUAAUUCUGGGUAACAGUCUAAUACCCAUAAUAAUAUUUAUGGCAAAAAAAAAUGCCCGUAUUUCUUCUAAGGCUGUGGGAAACCACAAACUAUCUUUUUUUUCCAGCUUGUUUACAUUCUGUGUAACGGUUUGUUUUCGCAAUGAUCACUUUAAACAAGCAUGCUGAAAAAAAAAAGUCUAGUGGUUUCGCUUCCUGAGAAAGUGAGUAGACGCUGUCUUCUCAGAAAAUUUGAUAAAAACAAUUUUUUAAGUUUUUACUCCAUUCUAGUGUAAAAUCAUCCUCGCUGUUGCUGCUUUCGGAUACAGAGAUAUCCGAUUCUCGUUCAUCACGUGCUUUUGUGCCUCAUUCAUUCUUUUUCUCAGUGUCUCCAUAUCUUCAGUUGAAAAACCUUCAAAUUCAGAAUCACUGCUUGAUAGCAUGAAAUUCCUCUCCCAAAAUUCAGCGAGUUCAAAUAUCAUACCAAACAAUGUUGGAUACAAUAACUCAACUAUUUACAAAGUGAAAUCAGGUGUUUUCACGAAUGUACUAACGAGAUUUGUGUUCAAAUUUACAUUUAAAUAACAAUGGGUACUCUUGGCCGGCCAGGUUAGUAUAGAAAGGGUUAAGGAUAUUGAAGGGAACUGGAUUUCUGAACAUGGUAGUCAUGUAUUUGAAUGAGGUGCAGUGAUCUACAAAAUGAU